UACGGAGGGUGCGAGCGUUGUCCGGAAUCACUGGGCGUAAAGGGCGCGUAGGCGGUCUGCUAAGCGUGUGGUGAAAGCUCGGGGCUCAACCCCGAGUCUGCCAUGCGAACUGGUGGACUAGAGCACUGUAGAGGCAGGUGGAAUUCCGGGUGUAGCGGUGGAAUGCGUAGAGAUCCGGAAGAACACCAGUGGCGAAGGCGGCCUGCUGGGCAGUUGCUGACGCUAAAGCGCGACAGCGUGGGGAGCAAACAGG
rnacentral:rRNA from 1 species